AGAGAAAUUGUACUUGUAAUUUUAGAUAGUCUUUCAAGGUUUAAACAAUAAUGCACAUGUUGCCAUUCUUGUCGGGCUUGCCUAAUCUCAAGAAAAAUGGUAGGUCAGUUCAUGAUUUUACAUAAAUGAGUUGGUAACUAAGAGUUUGUUUGGUAUCAUUGUCAGUUUUCAUUAGUUGGAGACCCACAAUCCAGGCUCUGAUACCAUGUUAAAUUUUUGAGACAAUAUGAAAUGGGCCUGACACUGAGUUUGUUCCACAAACAAGGCUUAGGGUCUUCCAUAUAAAACCAAUUGGCACUAGUAGGAGUAUCUUCUCUACUUUAUAAAGUGGAACCACUAGUAGAAAAAUUGAAAAAGGCACCGCUCAAUGGCCACCGGUUUUUGAAAACCGGUGGCUUAAAAAAUGGGCGGGAUUAGGCAUAUGUACAUUGCCACUCAAACCGAACCGGUGGCAUAAAUGAUAAAAGGCCACCGGUUUUGAACCGGUGGCAAUAAUCAAAUAAUAAAAAAAAAAAAGCCCACUAUUCUCUUUCCCCUUCCUUUAUAUACCUAACCCUAAUCUUCUCUCUCCUCUAUCACCUCUCCUCCUGCUCUCCUCCUUCUCUCUAUCUCCUUCGUUCUUACUCCCCCUCUCUGUUCUCUCUCUCUCUACCCUGAAUCUCUCUCGUCGACCUCCUCCUCUCUCCUGAUCUCUCUUCUCUUUCUCUCUCCUUAACCCUAAUCUUCUCCCUCUCUCGCGGUAUCUUCCUCUCUCCUUCGUUUGGCUCGUCCACCGCCGCAACAACAACCACCGCCAUUAACCAUCAAGCUUAUUGUCGCACUUACUCUCUCCUCGUGAUGAAAAUAUGGGUUUUCUGGUCUAAUUCGACCAUGAAAACUCUAGAUCUAGAGUAGAGUUUUCAUGGUCGAAUUAGACCUUUAUAACACAAAUUCAAGAUAAUUUCGGGGGUUUUUGCUGAAAUUCGAGGUGUUAAUUGAUGCUGGAUUCAAGACUUUCAUUUUGGAAUAUUGUUAUUUUUUAAUGUUGUAAUUUUUUUUUUUUGUAAUGUAUAAUUCAUUGUUUUUUUUUGUACUUAAUACUUCAUUGUAAUUUUUUUUUAUUGUACAAUAACAAUCUAUUAUUUGAAUAUAAAUGUGAGUAUAUUUCAUUGCGCUCUUAUAUUGAUUGUGAUGUUA